GCGUCCGCGCUGCGGGCCGGCCGAGGAGGGGCGCGCACGGACGCACGGACGCCGGCGCCCGCCCGGGAGCAUGUGGAAGCUGGGCCGGAGCCGGGUGCUCCUGGACGAGCCCCCCGAGGAGGAGGAUGGCCUGCGGGCGGGGCCGCCGCCCUCCGUCGCCCCCGCCGCCGCCGCUGCCGCCGCCGCCGCUGCCGCCGCGCAGGUUCAGGGAGCGAGUUUCCGAGGCUGGAAAGAAGUGACUUCACUGUUUAACAAGGAUGACGAGCAGCACCUGCUGGAAAGAUGUAAAUCCCCCAAGUCCAGAGGAACUAACUUACGAUUAAAAGAAGACUUGAAGACGGAGAAGAAGUCUGGAUUUUGGGACAAUUUGGUUUUGAAACAGAGUACACAGUCUAAGAAACCAGAUGAGAUCGAAGGUUGGGAGCCACCAAAACUUAUUCUUGAAGACGUGGCAGCCAACUCGGGCGACCCCAUGAGUGACCGUCUGUCCGGGCCGGGCUGGGAAGAGGACGCCAGGGGCUCCACCAAGUACACCAGCCUGGCCGGUGCCGGGAACAGCUCGCGCUGGAGCCUCAGGUCAGCGGGGAAGCUGGUCAGCAUCCGUCGGCAGAGCAGAGGCCACCUGACGGACGACUGGGAGGAGCUGGAGUGACGGCCCCACUCCUGCGAGUUCACAAACCAAGGUCUGCCUGAUUUUGCACCUUUGUAUCUCAUUUCAUUCAGAUUCCUAGAGUUUGCUGUAUCACAGUGUGUUUUUAGUAGAGUAUCAAGUUUGGUCUUUCCCUGAUGAAAACUGCAGAGAAUCUGCCCUGUGCUGUUUUAUUUGGACUCUCCUCUUCAAAUGCUUACUUAGGAAAUUCCUCAGUGGACACGAACAGGGACCGCACAUCAACUGCCUUAUGUGGAAACGUCCUCCUGUCGUCCACGUGUUGCUGAGACUGGAGACGUGAGGUUUGCUGCUGUCCGGGAGGAGCGCAGUGUGGCCUCUUCUGGAGAGAAACCCUGACCUCCCUUAGGGACUGGAUGACCACGAUGCCGUCUCAAGCCAGGUGACACGUCCGAGUCCCACCACCUUCCUUUCCCGUGGUGUGCGUGUUUCUGCCUUUCCCUCGCUGGUCUCCUGGCCUGUCCCUGCCCUCGUCCCCUCUUCCUCCCCUCCCCCCCACCUCACCCACUCCUGCUCCCGUCCUGCUCUACACCUGCCUCUGGGGGCGUGUGCUUCCGCUGGUGGUUUCAGACCCUGAACCUCAGGUGCUCACUCACAGACAUACGUCACCAGAUAUUUUCUGACUGUUGUCACAGGCCGGGGACUUUCUCUUCUUUCUCCCCAUUUACUUCUAGCCAUUUGUAUAUAUAUAUACUUUCUAGUUUUUAUGGUUCUCAGUUGAUAUUUGAACAAAAGAAGGGCAGGACACUAUUUAAUAAGCUUUAAAGAAAUGAAUUGGCUAAAAAUUUAACUUUGUGAUAAAAUAGUCCAAAGGGGGGUACAGACGGUGCUGAAUGACUAACCAAGGGACCUGCUGCUGCCACUGCUUUCUUUUGGCAGAAGAGCGGUUCUGGGUGAUGGAUGCGGGGCAGGAACGCCCUCCGAGGGGGUUUCCCAGCGCCUGUGCCCUGAGGACAGGCACCGUCACUUCCUAGUAGUUGCCGCUUCACCACAAGGGUCUGAUGGGGCUGUGACCCACACGUGAUGCUGUCGUGGUGAGUGCGUGUCCUCACGGCUGUGUUCUGUAGUUUGUAAUCGUGGAUACAGGACCCAGCCUGGUCCAGAACUGUCUGCAGGGCACCUCCUGGGUCGCAGGGUCCCUUGGGGCUCCUGGGGCAGGGGGGUGGGGUAGGGGGGUGGAUGGCCACAUCCUGUCCCAGCCUGGUCCACUCGGUGCUGGCCAGCUGUUAACGUUCAGCCAGCUGAAUGCACCUGUUUUCAGAAAAAGCGCUACUUUGUAACCUAAAUGGCUUUCGAUUCAUGUUGUGCAGAGUCACGUUGCAAUGAAAAAUUACCAAUCUUCACUAAUAGCAGAACAAAGUGAUGAACUAUUGAUAGAUUUUGCCCACUGUUGAAAAAUGUAAAAUUUCUACUGAAAGAAGCCGUCUCAGGAUUUGGAAAAUAUUUGAGCUGUGUCCUUUAGUAACAGGGUGAUGAACGCAAAGGUGACCCCCAGGGUGUGAGGUGUCACAUGGGUCUAGAAGGAAAGCCCCGCAUAGCUGGGUAGCACCCCGGAUUUGGUGCCCCUGAUGAGGUGAUCGUGUUACCCUGGAAACAGUGGCCCAGCACCCGACUUUCCUCAAACCCACGGGGAGAAUGACGUGGCAGACGAGACCUUUUAACGGUUGCAUUCGGAUGAGGGAUUGCAGGUGACUUUCACCUCUAUGUUUUUCACGCCUUCUGGGGUAUUUUGAAAAAUCAGUUAGACAAGCGUACAGACCGUAUUAACAAGCAAACCAGCUCCGCUCUGGGUUUUUCUAACCAUGUCGUCUCCCCGCUGUGUUCGCACAAGGACAGGUCAGGGCGCUGCGGCUGGGCCUGAGGUCAUGGGAAGGUGAGGUGUGGCCGGGCCAGCCCUGCAGGGGGCCCUGACCCGCUCGGUAGUGAAGCCAUGGGGGUAAUAAACCGAAAAUUGGCUUCUUCCCUGUGAGGAAGAGGCCGUCUUUUCUGACCGAGUGUCUGUGUUCCAGUUCCCAAGUGGCGACUCUAGCCUUCAUGCAGAAAUUCUGAAUUUAGAAAUGGUGGCUUUAAACAGAACAGCAAGGGAGAGAUGACACGUGGCUGUGGCGUGUGCAUCUGCCUCGCGGGGGGAGGGCGGUGAGGAGACCUCAGACUCUGGCGUCGGGCGAGGGUCUCAGGCGCCGUCCACUCCACUCCCUGGUGCCGCCCGGCCUCCUGCGGGGCACCUGGUCCAUCGGGGCUCCCAGAGGCGGUGCCGCUGCGCCCGUUUCCCAGAUGAUCAGAGUGAGGCUCCGAGGGUAUUUGUGCCCAGGCACUCAUUGGACCAGGAGCUGAGAUCCAGGUGGGGAAGCCGGAGGCACCUGCUGUUCUGAGGGGUCUGACGUGUCCCCAGCACUGGUUGGGGGUGCAGGGCCUGGCUUCAGACUCACAGGGACGGGGUCUAAAUGCUGGCUUAGACCUCGGGAGGCCACACAGUUUGUCCCUCGUCGCAGAAGGCGUGGCUGGACAGGGUGUGGCUGGCAUGGAAUGCGGUGGUGAGGGCCAGGCGAGGCUGCGGGGCGUCGGGGCAGGUGUCCCCACCUGGCGGUCCCUCCUGGACGGGUGGAGCCCCCUGCCCGUAUGCACCGGGCAAACGUUUUCAUGAAGCGGACGGAGCAUGGGAUUCAGUGGGGUGAGGAGGCCGUGUAGCUGGUGGACGGGAAGCUGAGAGGCUGGCAGAGUUUGGGAGACGUUCCUGGGGCAGCAGGGGUGCCAGGGCCUCGGAGCGGGAGGUUACUCCAGAUCUGCAGGCUCUGCGAGGCUGGUUCAAGGAAAGGGGCUCCUCCUGGACUAAGCUUUUCGCACCUGUCAGCCACCCAGGGUCCCGAUGGUGAGGAAGCCAGCGCCCAGCUUCCGUGCAUUCACAGCUCAUCCAGGAGAACCAUCCCCAGUGAAACAGUCAUUCUCCUUUUAACAACAGGAAAGGCCACGCUCGGCUGUGAACAAGAGUCCCCACACCUCGGUCACUCUGUGGGUCCUGAGGAAUUGGGGGCCCCCGGGUCUCAGUGUGUGUGGGAGUGUUAAGAGUUGUGCUUUUUCUGUACAGCGUGUGCCACUCCUGAGCCCGGUAGCAGCAGGCAUGUGCAAGGGAGGCCAGAUUACACCUAAACCUCUAAGUGGUGGUUAUUUUUCAUAAUUAACCCGUCACAUUUCAAUUUGGAAGUGACAGGCAUUUCAGUUUUUAAAAACUGUAUUAUGGAAAAUAUCUAUGCAAAGGUAAGAACAGUGCAGUGGGCAACUCAGCCACUGAGAUUCCACAGUUGCUGAACGUGUCAUAUUUGCUUCACGUGUGUUUUACCUGAUAAACGAUUUCAAGGCUGAGAUAUAUAUUCACCACUUAAAAGUAAAUUACAGACAUCGUGACGUUUCGCUCCUGAAUGCGUACAGCAUGCAUUUCUAAAAACGAAGCUAUUCCCCCAGCAUAACUAACUACUACGUCAAUGGCACACCUCACAAAAUUAACCAUUCCCUAACAUCAUCCGAUACCCAUAGAUACAGCCAGGUUUUCCCAGUUGUCUGGAAAAUGUCCUUUUAGCUGCUUUUAAUCUUGUCCUCAAGACCACGACAUGGUGUGUGCAUUGUGCCUGGCCUGCUGCAGGGGCUCAGCCGAUACUCAGGUAGGUGUGAAAUGUGGGCAUGGGGAUGACAGGUUCCCUCCCGCCUCGCCUGCCUGCAGUUGCCUCUCUCCGCCUGCAGGAAUGUGUGUCUGGGGACUUGCUUCUGUACAAAUCCACCGCUUUGUGCUGGGUUCUGAUACUCAAGAGUCCUUUCUCUGGGUAUCGGCCAAGUUUCUGAUUCUGUCCCAGGCCUCUGUCAUCUGUCUUCUGGUCGCCAGUCUCCCUCCAGGGUCUUUGGCCUCAGUGAAGUGGUGGACAAGUUUAUAUAAUUAGAAGUUAAUGUCUCAGCAUGACUUUUCAGAAUUGCAGAAUUUAGUGAUAAAGGCAGGGUAGAAUUUUAGCUUUCAAGAGAGUUGAAUAAAUCUGGAAGGGGGUGGUGAUGGGAAAAAUAUCAUUUGCUUUGAGUUUUCUUUCUGAGAAGUAUUUCUUUCUUUAGAGGCUAGGGUUUCAAAAUUCUCUUCUCCCUAGAAACUUAGAACUGGCUCAGUAAGCUAGCAGGAGGAUGCCAAGAAUUUUUGUUCUGUAAGAAAUCUCCAAAGCUCAACAUGCAGAAGCACCUGGAAGACCAGUUUCCCUUGGGAACCAGUGAGCAGGACCCAGAUGAGGGCAUUGCUCUCCCCCAGGAGAUACGCAGCUCUAUUCUAGUACUUCGCUGUUUCUCUCACUUUAUAAUUUUGGGUGCUUACAGAUCUUCAAAAGGCAAUGUGAGAUAAAAUACUGGAAAGAUAUCAAAAUGUAAGUAAUUACCUUGAAGUAGAAUUAUGGGUAGCAUUUUCUUUUUUUUUGUAUAUUGGCUUUUUAACAAAACUUUUUACAGUGAAUAUAAUUACUUUUGUGAUAAAAAAAACAGGGCGACAAAUGUUGUUGAAAAAGUAACACCUCAGUUUUUAAAUGGAAAAUAGCAAACAUAUCCAAAAGAAGAAACAAAAUUAUAUAAAUCAUGGGCUGGCACACUACAGCCUGGUGGACAACUGUGGCCGUCCCCCUGUACUUACUUAUAUGGCAUACAAGUUAAGAAUGUUUACAUUUUCAAAUGGUAGAACAACUUAAAAGAAUAAUAUACUGUGACACAUGAAAUCCCACAGAGUUUAAUUGGAACACUCGCUAUCAAUGUCCCCCACGCAGCUGAAGUCUGAGUUACGUAUAGAUUGUCUAUGGCUGCAAGAGAGAAUGUGGGCCCUGGAAAGCCAAAAAUAUUUAACACCUGCCUCCUCACAGAAAAUCUGCUGAACCCUGGUGAAAACUCCUUCAUGUACACAUCCUUCCCCUCUACAGUUUUCAGCUCCUGGCCAGUCUUGUUUUAUCUUUAGUCACCCCCUAGCCUCAACCAAGAGAAUUAACUAUGUUAAAGUAAAUCCCAUAAUCCUGUAAUUUCAUCAUCUUCAUGUUGUUUAAAUUAAAAAGUUGAGAAUUUAUCAAGAAGAUGUAAUAAUCAUAAACAUACAUGAACAAACAUUAGAGCUUCUAAACAUAUGAAGCAAACACUGAGGAAAGAAGAGCCAGCUCUAUAUUAUAGUAGGAGACCCCAAUACCCCACUUCAAGAAGAGACAAUAUCCACCAUUAGAUCAAUCAAUUUAAUACACGUUAUCAUACACAGAACAAAGGAAAAACAUGAUCAUUUCAAUUGAUGCAGAAAAAGCAGUUGACAAAAUUCAACACCCUUUCACGAUGGAAAUACUCAACUAAUUCUGAAUAGAAGGAAACUGCCCCAACAUUAUACAGCCAUAUAAAAAGUCCCAGCUGACACCCUCUCAAUGCUGAAAGACUGAAAGCUUUUCCUCUAAGAUCAGGAACAAGACAAAAUGCCCACUCUCACUACUUCUGUUCCACACAGAUUGGAAGUCUGCACCAGACAGAGCCAUCUGGGCAAGAAAAAGAAAUAAAGCAUCCAAAUUGGAAAGGAAGUAUUAAAAUUUUCUGUUUGCAGGUGGCAUGAUCUUACAUGUAGAAAAUCCUAAAGACAACAAAAAAAUCAACAUACAAACAUCAGUUGCAUUUCUAUACAAUAACAAUGAAAAAUCCAAAGAGGAAAUUAAGAAAAUUUCAUUUUUUAAUGGCAACAAAAAGAAUAAAACACUUAGGAAUGAACUGAGUGAAAAAAGGCUGAAAGAAAAAGACACAAAUAAAUGGAAGCCAUCCCAUGUUCAUGGAUUGGAAAACUUCCACCCAAAGCAAUCUAUAAAGUCAAUACAAUCCCCACCCAAGUCAUAAUGGCAUAUUUGGUCAAAUGAUUUUCAACAAGGGUGCCAAAACCAUUCAGUAGGGAAAGGACAGUCAACACAUGUUGCUGGGAAAACCACAUAUCCACAUGCAGACGAAUGAAGUUGGAUCCUUACCUUAUUAUGCUAUGUGCAAAAAUUAAAACUAUAAAACUCUUAGAAGAAAACAUAGGGAGAAAGCUUCAUGACAUUGGAUUUGGCAAUGAAGUCCUGGAUAUGACAAAAUGUGCAGGCACCGAAAAAAAGAAUAGAGAAAUCGGACAUCAAAAUUUAAAACCUCUGUGCGUCCAAGGACACAGUCAACAGAGUGAAAAGGCAACCUAGGGAAUCGGAGAGAACAUUUUCAAGUUGUCUAGCUGAUAAGGACUUAGUGUCCAGAGUUGUAGUAGUUCUUUCUAUAUUCAACAACAAAGCCACAUACAACUCAAUUAAAAAGAGGGCAAAGGACCUGAAUAGACAUUUCCCCAAGAAAGACAUAUAAACAGCCAACAAGCACAGGAGAAGAUGCUCAACAUCACUUCUCAUCAGGGAAAUGAAAAUCAAAGCCAUAAUGAGAUAUCACCUCCCAACCAUGUGGACAACUACUAUAAAAAACAAACAAAAAAAGCCCAACCUCACAAGAUAACAAGUGUUGGUGAGGAUGUAGAGAAACUGGAGCCCCUGGGCACUGUUAGAGGCUGCACCAUUGUACACUCCCACCAUGGAAGAUAGUACGGUGGUUCCUCAAAAUAUUAACUAUAUAAUUAGCACAUGAUCCAGCAAUUCCACUUCUGGGUAUACAUUCAAAAGGAAACGAAACCUUUAUCUAGAAGAGAGAUUUGUACACCAUGUUCACAGCAGCCCAAAGGUGGAAGCAACCCAAGUGCCCAUCAACAGACAGAGAAACAGAAAUGUGGUCCAACCACACAAUGGAACACUAUUCAGCUCACAAGUGAAGGAAAUCCUGAGCGAUGCUACAACACGGAUGAAAAGACAACUACUUUAUGAUUCCAGUUACAUGGUGUGUCUACAGCAGUCAGAUCCAUAGAGACAAAGUAGAUGGUGGGGGCCAGAGGCUGGUGGGUGGGGAAGGGGAAUUAGUGUUUAAUGGGGACAAUUUCUGUUUGUAGAGAUAAAAAGUGUUCUGUAGAUGAUGGUGGUGGUGUUUGCACAACAAUGUGAAUGUACCUAAUGCCACUGGACUGUACACUGAAACAUGGUUAAGAUGGCAAAUUUUAUGUGUAUUUUACUGCAAUUAAAAUUUUUUAAUGACAUUUGAAUUUUCUAUGUAGAUUAAAUAGUAAAAAGCUACUUGCAUUCGUCUGUGCAAAUUUCUCAAAUGACUGUCAAAGAAAAGUGAAAAUUUUAUCCAAAUAAUAAAAACAACAUAGUUGAGGUGUCUCUCCUGUCUGACACAGAAGAACAAACACCGUGUGUGGAGAAUCUCGCCAUCCUGAGCGAGAGACACGUGAAAAGCCCUCUCGCGUCCUCAGGUGGCUGUGCUCUGAGCACCUCUGUUCUCCAUGUGGGCCUGAGUCGGUGCUGGGGGUGGGGAGGGCAGCAGAACCCCCAGGAAUACGCCUGAGAGAUGCAUGUGCCAAUGACACCCAGAAGGUGCUGGCGAGGGGGCACUGCAGUCACACCUGUGCGGUGGGAAGGAGCAGGCCACACCAGCCAUAGCAGGGGUCGGGAAGGUGCACGUGGCACGUCCCUGCUGGGAUU